UUUUUUUUUUUUUUUUAACCUUUUGCAGGUUUUGUGUCCUUGAUAGAGCCUAUGUAGCCCAAGAAGGAGACAUUUUGGACUACAAAUUUACACGUUUGAAGACAUUUUGUACACUCUUGUGUCCAAAAAAUUCUUAUCUCAGCCUAAGCAUCCUAUCUCUUACUUUCUUGUAUACCAAUUCAAUUAUAUAUUCCCAUUCAUUUCAUGGAAGAGUUGGACUAAAUCUCAUUUGUUUAUGGCUAUGAAAAAUAAAAAAAUCACCAUAUAUAGCUCGGCCUACUAUAUAUUAUAUACCUAAUAACCUAAACAAAAGCAGGUUUAGGUCCACAUGCUUGAAUAGUUGAAUGUACAAUGGCACAACUUCCAAUCGCACAAUGCCCAAUUUUAUAAAAACACAUUACCUAUUAGAAUGAGAAAUAGUUGUAGCAUGCACUUAGCAAUGCAAGUUUUGUUUCAUUCUAGCUCAAAUUAACAAAGCAAACAUACAGUUUAAUCUGGUUUAAUUCAAUGAUUAAAAAUAUAUUAUUUAUUUAAUAAAAUCAAAUUUGACUCUACACUUUCUCAAUUCUCCUACUCAAAAAAUAUAUGCAUAUAUUUACAUACUUUCUUAUAAUUAAUAGGAUUAAUGGUCAUACAGCGAAAAAAUAUAUGCAUUAGAUUUUCUUAUUAAUUUGAUUUUGAUUAGAGUUUAAAUUUAGAAAAAUUAUAAUUUAAAGAACGAAUCUAAUAUCACUAAACAAAGUUCAUUAAUAGCAUCCGUUAGCAUUUUAAAUAAAGGAAAUUAAAAUAUAUUGAUGCUCGUUUCCUAUUCCUUUAAAAAAAUGUAUGAAAACUAAGUAUUUGAUUAGCUUGCUAGCAACUUUAUGAAUAAAGAGGGUUGUAUUAGUUGAUAUUGUAUGAUACAUGAGAUAAAAAUCAGUUGAGAAGAGGGCUAUAUUCUUGUGUUUCAGUCAUGAAGAAUUUUUAAAACUUAUGAAUUUUUUCAUAAAAUACAAUAAUAUAGAAUUACUCUUUCUGUGAGAGAGCAUAAAGUUAAUUUGUAUAGUAUUGCAUUACUGUAUAACAUGUGUAGAGAGAGAGAGAGAUUAUAUGAUAAUCUAGUCCAUAAUGACUAUAUAUAUAUACACUGACCUGAAAUUGAAGAUUGGAAUGAUAAAGUCUCAUAGAAAAUGAAUAUUUAAUUAGGGUUUAGAUCUUAUAAUUUUUUAGUAAACAUGGAAAAACUGGAAAACUAUAUCAAACAUUCAUAUAGCUAGUUUAUAACAGCUGUAACCAUUUGUUUAUGAAAAGAUAAGAAGGCUAUAAAAUUUGUAAGGGAGAGUUCCAAAUUCAUGCCUCGGUGAUUUGCCUUCUAAUUGUUGAAUUAAGAAAUGCAUCAAAUAGUUGGGAUUGGUGAUAAAAAUAGGAUUAUGAAUGGAGAAAGGUUGAGGCCAUGUGACAAAAGAGAGAUUUUCGAAUGGGCAAGAGAGAUUAUUAGAAUGUUGGGGGUCAUGUGCUAGGGAAAUGCAUCACAAAAAGAGCCUUUUAUUUGAAAUUAGGGCAAGAUUUAAAGUACUUUUUUUUAAGGUCUUACCACAUGUGGAUGAUUCCUUUGCCUUUGGGACACUCAAUCUGAGGCCCAGAGUGAAAAAAAGAAGUCCUUUAGUUAUCAUCUUUCACUGCCUUGGAUUCUAAUUAAAGUCCUCAAACCAUGUGAUUUAUUGGACUUGUACUCUUGACCCAGGGCCACACCAGGCAUGAGACAUGGCUAGGCUACUCUGGUUUAAGGACCUUAACCCAACUUUCACAGCUUUUAGGGAUAGCUAAUUAGGCAAGCAGAAAGUAACAAAAACACAUAUUUUUAGGCUUAACCAGAAAACUAUAAAAACUUUCAUUUUUUCUGCAAUUAAUUUUUGUGUUUUAAGUCAUUUCUAUGAACAAAAGAAGAAGAAAAAAAAGGCAACUUUUUGAAAAGAUGAAAUCAAUUUGGUAGAAGUAUGCAAUGAUGAAAAGUUUCCAGAAAUGGGACAAUUGAAUUCUCGUCAAAGCCUGUAGAAAUUAUUGUAUUCACUACAUAUGAUAUAUGAGGUUCACUGUUUUAUCAAAUAGCAAGCUUCCACUUGGUUAUCUUGUUAAUGAAGAUUCUUGACUAUUUCAAAGAAAACUCCCCAAACCCAUUUGCAAGAGACAAAGUGUUUG
rnacentral:misc_RNA from 1 species